CGAGCGCACCUUCGGGUGAGCGGCGGACGGGUUAGUAACGCGUGGGAAUAUGCCCUUCUCUACGGAAUAGCCUCGGGAAACUGAGAGUAAUACCGUAUACGCCCUUCGGGGGAAAGAUUUAUCGGAGAAGGAUUAGCCCGCGUUGGAUUAGGUAGUUGGUGGGGUAAUGGCCCACCAAGCCGACGAUCCAUAGCUGGUUUGAGAGGAUGAUCAGCAACACUGGGACUGAGACACGGCCCAG
rnacentral:rRNA from 1 species